rnacentral:rRNA from 1 species
GACGUAGGGCGCGAGCGUUGUCCGGAUUUAUUGGGCGUAAAGAGCUCGUAGGCGGCUUGUCGCGUCGACUGUGAAAACCCACGGCUUAACUGUGGGCUUGCAGUCGAUACGGGCAGGCUAGAGUUCGGUAGGGGAGACUGGAAUUCCUGGUGUAGCGGUGAAAUGCGCAGAUAUCAGGAGGAACACCGGUGGCGAAAGCGCGCGACUGGACCUGAACUGACACUGAGGGACGAAAGCUAGGGGAGCGAAAGGG